rnacentral:rRNA from 1 species
UACAGAGGUCUCAAGCGUUGUUCGGAUUCAUUGGGCGUAAAGGGUGCGUAGGUGGCGCGGUAAGUCGGGUGUGAAAUUUCGGAGCUUAACUCCGAAACUGCAUUCGAUACUGCGGUGCUUGAGGACUGGAGAGGAGACUGGAAUUCAUGGUGUAGCAGUGAAAUGCGUAGAGAUCAUGAGGAGGACCAGUGGCGAAGGCGGGUCUCUGGACAGUUCCUGACACUGAGGCACGAAGGCCAGGGGAGCAAACGGG